UUUCCAGUUCUUGGCGCUAUUUUGGUAUGCCUAUAUUUAAUCAUUCUGGCUUUUUUAUGAUUUUUAUGAAUGUUGAUAUCCCAUGAAAUGCAUUGACUGGCAUGUUCAUGUUGUAGUUGGAGAUUGAUAUGGAAUAUGUUUAUGCCCCCAUGAAAACUUCCAUUCUAUAUAGAAUGUGUUUUGGUGAUAUUUUCAUCACAAGUUUGACAAUUUUUAAGAAUCAAAUCGGAUAUGUGGGCUUGUUUUUCUUUUAUUAUGUGUUUGCUUUUGAGUGAUGCACCUGAUAUAAGUUUUAAUAUGUUCUGCAGUGAUUGCAAAUGGCCUUUUUAAG
rnacentral:misc_RNA from 1 species